rnacentral:rRNA from 1 species
CCUACGGGUGGCAGCAGUGAGGAAUAUUGGUCAAUGGGCGGGAGCCUGAACCAGCCAAGUCGCGUGAGGGAAUACGGUCCUAUGGAUUGUAAACCUCUUUAUGCGGGGAGCAAUGCCGGGCACGCGUGCCCGGAGGGAGAGUACCCGCAGAAUAAGCAUCAGCUAACUCCGUGCCAGCAGCCGCGGUAAUACGGAGGAUCCGAGCGUUAUCCGUAUUUAUUGGGUUUAAUGGUUUCUUAGGCGGGCUUUUAAGUCGGCGGUGAAAGUCUGUGGCUCAACCAUAGAAUUGACGUUGAAACUGGGAGGCUUGAGUAUGUUUGAGGAAGGCGGAAUGCGUGGUGUAGCGGUGAAAUGCUUAGAUAUCACGCAGAACCCCGAUUGCGAAGGCAGCCUGCCAAGCCAUGACUGACGCUGAUGCACGAAAGCGUGGGGAUCAAACAGGAUUAGAUACCCUUGUAGUC